AGAUGAACCAAUUUCGACUUUAUCCAGGAGGCUCCCAAAAGCAGAACUGCACGCGCCUUUCGGGAUUCAAAAACCAGGGAAUAGAAUUGCCUUAAACAUACUGGAGUUCCCAUCAUUCCUGGCCAGUUCCCAUCAUUCCAGUCCGAACACAUAUGGAGACCAACAGGUUGAGCAAAACAGCAUUCAGCUGACUAAACCAUUGGAGCUCCAGAUCCAGCUUUGAUCUGGCCCAAUCUUCCUCCGCAUUGGAGCCCCGUACAGAUGUUGCGAUGCCUCCUCCCUCUGAUGCCUCUCUGCUCAGUGAGUGCAGCAACUGUUUGCUGGCCAUGACCUGCCUGGCCCUCGUUGCGGGUGUCUUCAUGGUGAUCUCCGCCAUCCUCUGUGAACGGGUUCUCCGUGGGUACCUGCCCCACAAAAGAAAGCCAGUACCAUCUGUCUGGAGGCAAGGUGGGACCUUGUGGAUAGAGCCGAGCCGGAAUCGUGCAGAGCCAGAUGUUCUCUCGAGGCAGUCGGAAACGGUCCCACUUUGGAUCCAGCGUUCCAAUGACUGGUUUCUGGAUGUUUCCCCAGAACCAAGGGGUUGUGACUCUCUUGUUGACCUCCAGCAGGAAGCAUCCAGCCCAAGCAGUUCUUCCCCUCUUUGGGACCAUGAUGAACCAACAUGGGGGGUCCAGCCACGGGUUACUUUGCAGGACCUGGCUGGGUUUUUUCGGCACAGUCAGCGGGGUACU